GAAAAUGAUUUAAAUUAGACUUCUAAUCUAAUCCUUUGCCUAGAGUAACAUUUUCU
rnacentral:tRNA from 1 species